UCCCAGGACAGCCACUCUACCUAGAUUUGCUUUUUCACUCAUCUGAUUAGGAUUUAUGAAAUACUUGCUAUGCGUUGGUUCCAACUGAGAUAUGGAAGAUAUAAAGAUGAGUAGGACCUGACCCCGAGGAGCUUGAAGAAUUACACAGAGGUUCCCCAAAGCAAGAUCUACGGAUCUCAAAAUGUUCCUGAAGAAAAGGGUCACAGACAGUCAGCAAUUGAACCUUUCGACUUCUCUGCCACUCGUCAUCUGAAAACUUCAGACAAGGGAACUGGAAAAUUUAUUCAGGACAUUCUCAGCAUCAGCGAGGCCACAGGUCGGUUUCAGGAAGGACUGAGCUUCAGCUCCUGUCACCUACUGUGGCCAGUUGGAUUUGCUUUCUGUCAUGCUACAGAGCACAUGGAAACCAAGCAAGGGAUCUGCUGCGGCAGGUGGCCAGAGCCCCAGGCCGUCGUAUAUACUGCUGACAUGCGUGGUUUGAACUCCUUUGCCCAAACACAGACUAAAUGAUAAAAUACAGAGCAGCCUGGGCUAUCUGGUAAUUUUCUCCGUCAUCUUGGUAAUCAAGCAUGAUUGAAGAAGUACGAGGUAGCAGGUGGCCCACACAGCAUCUCCAGCUGCACAUGCUGUGCACGUGGCUUCAAAGGUAUUUACUGAGUUCUAUCAUGUACCAAGUACCUGUAAAACAAGACAGAGAGCACAAUCCCUUCCUGCAACAGUGAGGGACCCAGGCAACUGAACUGACACCUGGAAUUCAGUGGAUGGGGCUUUGAUGGGGUGAGUACAAGGGGCGUGGAGCACAUCGCCUACUUUGGAAUGUUAAGAUAUGGCUUCCUAGGUCAAGGAGUGCAGCAGUUGUUUAAAGGACGAGAUUUAUUAACAGACGGCGAUAGGAGAGUCCCAGAGGGAGAGAUGAGCCCGUGUGGGCAAUGGUGUGGAGGCCUGAGACAGCACGGCUCUUUCAGCAAUUUCAGGUAACGUUGGCUGAGAAUGAAGAAGUC